GCCUCUGUGGAUCAGUGUAGAUGGCCUCGACUUCUUAGAGGUUUUUCUUGCUUGUUAUAGGCCGAGAUAGCGAGGAGAUGUGGGUUCGAGUCCCACCAGAGGCC